UAGGGAAUCUUCGGCAAUGGACGAAAGUCUGACCGAGCAACGCCGCGUGAGUGAAGAAGGUUUUCGAAUCGUAAAACUCUGUUGGUAGAGAAGAACGUUGGCGAGAGUGGAAAGCUCAUCAAGUGACGGUAACUACCCAGAAAGGGACGGCUAACUACGUGCCCG
rnacentral:rRNA from 1 species